UCAGGACGAACGCUGGCGGCGUGCUUAACACAUGCAAGUCGAGCGGGGUUUAUCGGAUUAGCUUGCUAAACUGAUAAACCUAGCGGCGGACGGGUGAGUAACGCGUGAGCAAUCUGCCUCAUACAGGGGGAUAACAGGUGGAAACACCUGCUAAUACCGCAUAAGACUCCACUACCGCAUGGUAGAGAAGUCAAAGGGAUUACCGGUAUGAGAUGAGCUCGCGUCCCAUUAGCUAGUUGGUAGGGUAAAGGCCUACCAAGGCGACGAUGGGUAGCCGACCUGAGAGGGUGAUCGGCCACACUGGGACUGAGACACGGCCCAGACUCCUACGGGAGGCAGCAGUGGGGAAUAUUGCACAAUGGAGGGAACUCUGAUGCAGCAACGCCGCGUGAGUGAAGAAGGUUUUCGGAUCGUAAAACUCUGUCAUUGGGGAAGAAUAAAUGACGGUACCCAAUGAGGAAGCCCCGGCUAACUACGUGCCAGCAGCCGCGGUAAUACGUAGGGGGCGAGCGUUGUCCGGAAUUACUGGGCGUAAAGGGUACGUAGGCGGCUAUAUAAGUCAGGUGUGAAAUACCAGUGCUUAACACUGGAAUUGCAUUUGAAACU
rnacentral:rRNA from 1 species